rnacentral:rRNA from 1 species
GGGCCCGCACAAGCAGUGGAGUAUGUGGUUUAAUUCGAAGCAACGCGAAGAACCUUACCAGGGCUUGACAUGCAUAGGAAUACAGUAGAGAUAUUGUAGCUCUUCGGAGCCUAUGCACAGGUGGUGCACGGUUGUCGUCAGCUCGUGUCGUGAGAUGUUGGGUUAAGUCCCGCAACGAGCGCAACCCCUAUUGUUAGUUGCCAGCAAGUAAAGUUGGGAACUCUAGCAAGACUGCCGGUGAUAAAUCGGAGGAAGGUGGGGACGACGUCAAAUCAUCAUGCCCUUUAUGUCCUGGGCUACACACGUACUACAAUGGUGGUGACAGAAAGAAGCAAGAUAAGUGAUAUUAAGCAAACCUCUAAAAAGCCAUCUCAGUUCGGAUUGAAGGCUGAAAUUCGCCUUCAUGAAGCUGGAAUUGCUAGUAAUGGCAGGUCAGCAUACUG